rnacentral:rRNA from 1 species
ACGGGUGAGUAACGCGUGGGAAUCUACCGUGCCCUGCGGAAUAGCUCCGGGAAACUGGAAUUAAUACCGCAUACGCCCUACGGGGGAAAGAUUUAUCGGGGUAUGAUGAGCCCGCGUUGGAUUAGCUAGUUGGUGGGGUAAAGGCCUACCAAGGCGACGAUCCAUAGCUGGUCUGAGAGGAUGAUCAGCCACAUUGGGACUGAGACACGGCCCAAACUCCUACGGGAGGCAGCAGUGGGGAAUAUUGGACAAUGGGCGCAAGCCUGAUCCAGCCAUGCCGCGUGAGUGAUGAAGGCCUUAGGGUUGUAAAGCUCUUUCACCGGAGAAGAUAAUGACGGUAUCCGGAGAAGAAGCCCCGGCUAACUUCGUGCCAGCAGCCGCGGUAAUACGAAGGGGGCUAGCGUUGUUCGGAAUUACUGGGCGUAAAGCGCACGUAGGCGGAUAUUUAAGUCAGGGGUGAAAUCCCAGAGCUCAACUCUGGAACUGCCUUUGAUACUGGGUAUCUUGAGUAUGGAAGAGGUAAGUGGAAUUGCGAGUGUAGAGGUG